CCAUCCUCUGUGGACCUUUGCGGAUCCCCUUCACGAGAAGCAAUCCUCGGAACCACCCUGGCUCCCUCCGGCCAAGCUCUCAUACACUUCAUCCUUCUUGGAUGCUACUUUGGUUAUCGUCUGGCUCUUUGUGUGUACCAUGUCGGGCGAUUUCUCAGAACUUGUUUCAUGUAUCAUUUUCCGCAGCGCUGUGAGGGAGCGUCCCAUGUCUGAGAACUCCGACGAGCUGAGCGAUGUGAGAAGGUGACAGCCUCUUGGAGACUCACGUUAAGCUGAGGACGGAGCGGUGUGCAGAAGACGGCCAUCAGAGGCCGAAUGGAAUGGCCCGUUUGCAUUUAUUUGGAGCAAAAGAAAGGAGAGGCCUGUCAGCCCGGCUCUGCAGGUUAAGUAUUCGUCUGUGCUGUCUUCUUCCUUCUGAUGUCGGAAGCCCUCGCUGUUUACUGAACCCACCCAGCUGCUGGGCCUUCUCCUUCCUUUCCCCGUAGACCCCUGCCCCCGGUCCUCCAUCAGACAGGACGAGAUCAAUUUUCUAGUGCCUCUGGAGAGCUGCGGAGAGGCUAGAUCUCAGUGUUUAGCCCCCGCACAUCGCCCUCACAUUCAGGAGAAGUCGAUUUUUCCUAAGACGGAGCCAAAAGCCCAUGUCCCUCAGUGCCGUGUUCUUAAUGGGCCGAUGGGAAGGGCCCUGCCUGCCCUCGCUGCCCCCAGCAGGGAGGAGAGGCUCUCAGCUGGCUGGCUGGGGGAGGACGGUCCUUGCCAGCAUCUAGCGUGGUUCUCUGCCAAGUUCUAGCUCCAAAUCUCUAGGCCGCUAGGAACCUAGACUAUAUAUAGCAUUGUGCUAAGCAAUUCUUAUCGGACAUGUCUGCCCUCCCCUGCGGGAGAGGAGUCCUUCUCGCAGGGAACCAGAACCUCGAGAGUGUGAGCCAUCAUCUCUAAGGGGCCUUUCAUUCCAGGAAGGGCUAAUUGUCUGAGGCUGGUUCCGGAAUGCCAAGCUUUCUUUCCUUUUCCUUCUUUCAGACGCUGAUAGAUCGGAAAGUCUGAUGUGGGAUGAGGGCCAGGCGGGCCUCAUGGUUCUCGAUGGAUUUGGGGGCUUAGAGGAGGACAGUCUAGAGGCUGAAAGUGUGGCCGACGGCACGGAGUGGCCCGUGUCACCCACCAGCCUCCCACAUGUCUUCUUGGUUUCCUGUUUGCCUUGCUUUGCCCAAGGAUGUCUUUUGACCUCUCAUGCUUCUUUUGGACCUCUUGUCUUCCCUGCCCUCCUCUACCUCUUCCUCCUCCUUCCUUUGAUUUUCUUUAGGCUCUAUGACGGCAGACGUGGCUCCGGGCAUCCGGGAACUGUGUCUGCUCGCCGCCCUCACCCGCCGUUGGGGGUUUCAGGGAAAUCUGCCUUUAGUCAGCCGUCCUCGGGAGGAGCUGGGUGGUGACUGCACAUGUCAUCCUUGGUGGUAGAGGGCAGAACGGGCUGGAUAUUUGCCGCCUCCUCUCGUAGGUGCUGUGGAGCCGCCAGUGUCUGUGGUUCUGUGAUUCCGAGUGCCGAUGGAGGGGGACAUGAUCUGGUCUUGUCAGUGAAUCAUCUCCAGGCUGCUUAUUGGAAACCAGACGGUGCAAGAAAAUGGGAUUUAACCGCUUUGCUGCCUCCCAGGAGCCUCGGAACCAGCAUUCUGGGUGGCAGGAACACUGCCGAGCUGGGCCGGGCUUCCGCCGCCCCUCCCCCUCGCUGGCUGGAGCUGGCGUCAGUCAUGUAAGUAGCCGUGACUCAGCACCCAGCCCGGGCGGGAGGGAGAAGCUGCUGCCUCGCAGGAACCUUCCCAGCGCUCUGGAUUUGAACAUGUCCUGGUCACACAGAACCAGCCGGCGGCAUCAGCUUCCUGGGGGCGUGUGUCUCUUGGCUCGGUGGGUUUGCUUAUGGAUCUCAUAAACCAGGAUUCCUCCUCUGCUCUCCAUUUUCCUCCCAUGUUACUUUGUGGGUGCCAGACCUGGCAUGGGGUUUUUAGGACUUUAAAAGACACAGCAUUAUUUCUAGAAGGCAGUAGAAGCUCUCUUUGAAAUCUCCAGACUGCACUUGAACCCAUGGCCCACGAGUUCUGUCUAUUUAACCCUUGGAUGUUUUUGUUUGGCCUACACAGAGUUUUUGUUAAUUUUUUUUUUUAAUGUAUCUGAUUUGCAUGCCUUUAGACAAAACACAGCCUCUCCGGGUCCCUACUCCUGCCGCGCACGCUGCUGCUGCUUCUGUCCUAGUUCCUGUCCCAGCCCUGGAGCAUUUGAAUGCACUGACACCAGGCCUUGUGAGCCCUCCUGCUUUUCAGAACUGUGGUCCAUUCCGGGGAAGUGCAGGCCCCUGCUCUCAAGAGUCUGGGCUGAGCAGGAAUUAAAGCCACUGUGUUCUGAUUCACUGUGUGGUGACCUUUCCUCCACCCUCAGUCCCUGCCCAGGCAGAGGAGUGUCCUAGGCAGGAGGGCAUGGAAAAACCUCCAAAUAGAAUGUCUGCCCAGAAAUGGAUGGGGGCCUCAGCAGGCUGCCCAAACCCUCUUCCCGCGCACGGUGGCACCUCCCCGAGUUGACAUACCCACCCCCCACGCUGGGCAGUUUUCCUUCCUGGACAGCGCACCAAACCCUUCCCACUGGCCAGUUUGCAUGGGACCAUUAGGCCAGGCCGAGUCCCUGCAGGCUGGGGCUUCGACGGGCUGCCUUCCUACAGAUCGAGGUGGCCAUCGAGCUGGGUGCCAGGGAGCCCAAGCCCCUUCCAGCCCCCAUCCAACCACCCCGCUAUACCCAGCUCGGGAACGAAAACACCAGCUGGCUUCAGGUAAGUGAGUCAUUGCUUGGCAGACUUUGUGAGAGAAGCCUGGUUCUUUUGGGAGGGCUGAGACCUGCAUAGACUCUUGUAUCCAUUGGGUGGAGGAGCAGAGGGUUUUGGUACUAAGAUUACUUUCUUUCCCUCUUCUUGUGUUAGAGUGUUUAUGAUGAUGUGUUCUGAAUGAUGGCUGUCUUUCUCCAGAGAACUGAGUAUCGUAGAACUCGGGCACUGUGAGCCCAAACUCUGGGUCGUGGUCCUUAGUUCCCUCAGUGACAGUUGGUCCUCUGCAAUGCCCUCCCGCCCCGAACUCUGGCCUGAUGCUCCCUGGGUAGCAGGAGAGACAGUCAUUAAUCACCCUGAUGACCACGUGACAUCUGUAUGUCCUGAAGGACAAGAACUAGGUGCUGUGAGAGGGUGUGACAGAAUGCUUGGCUCACCCGGAAAGCUUCAGGUGACCUGCGUUACCUGGGGGAGGGUUGAUGCGUGGUUGCUCUGGGAGGGUAGACAGAGAAUGUUCCAGAAAGAGGGAGCAAUGUAUGCAGAGGCCUGCUGGGGGAGGACAGGGGCCGUCUGGAUGACUGUUUACCUGUGUGACAACACGCUGGGAAAAGUUCUGUGGAUACUGGCAGUUGGAAGUGGCUAAGAAGGAAGAGUCCACCUGGGGUCAGAGGCAGAAAAGCUGAGAAAGACCAAAUGUAGAGCUCCAACCACCUCAUGUUAUAGGAUCCCAUGAAAAUGACUAUCCUUUAUCAGUAACUUCCUGACCUUACAACCCUGCAAGUUACCUGCUUCCUGGGGCCCAGCUGUUGACUGCAGGUGUCCUUGAUCAGAGCUGCUGCCCUGCUUCCUAUCAGUGGCUGAGGCCGUGCAAAGGCCCUGGGCUCCGAGCCCAGUGCUAGGGUCAGAAUCUGGAGUCCAGCACAGGCAUCGUGGGCAGUUCCUCUCCAGCACCUUCCCCUACCACAGCCAUGCUAUGAGUGCGGGAGGACACAGGAGGCUAGCUCCCAGCCCCGGGACCCCUGCAGAACCAGGGGGCCUGUCUCACCCCAAGUUAAACAUGUUGUCAGUCACAUCCACGGCCAUGUACAAACAUUGCCUAGGACUACCCACCUCCCCGCCCACGCCCCGCCUCAACCUUGCUCACAGUUGAGUUCAAGAACAGAAUGAGACUGUGGACCAGCCUGGAGCAGGCACAGUAGGCCCAGGAGCAGUAGCACAGGACUGUGGGGUUAGAUCUGGGAUCUGCACCAUGUGUUGGUCACAUGGCCGUGGGCGAGUUACUAAAGCAUAAGGAGCAUUUUCUCCAGCAGGCGUGGGAACAGUACAUGCUUCCCGGGACUGACACGGUUAAACCACACACCUCAGUGUUCAAAUUUUAUUUCUUCCUCUUUCCUGGAGCAGUGCAUGCUGUCAUUUCCAGGAGCUACAAUAAAUAUGGGCCUGUCUCUACCACGGAGCUGGUAGCCCGAAAGGUACAGAUUCCACUCUCUCUUUCCUUGGUUGUGCUGUCCCAGGAAAAUACAUGCUUUCUCAGCUUCAAACAACCAGAAACAACCCAUUUAGGAGAUGAGAAAUCUAAUUUGAAGACGAUGCAAAUCUUAUUUUUCAGACAAAUUCUGAAAACAUACACACACACAACUCCGUUCUCCUGUUAGAGGAUUAUCUACUUAACACAGCUUUAGAACAUCACAUUUUUUUGUGUCAGGGCUGAGAAUAAGUAAGAGUGCCAAUGUUCUGAGCCUUACGUAAGGCCGGGAAGGAGGAGCCUGAGCUCUUUCUGAGGAAGGCGUAUGGAAGGGCUGCCCAGGGCGGGGUGAAACCCCGCUCUGCGUACUGGAUAGAGCCUGGUGGCAGACAGGGGGCUUGUUUCCUGAUGAGGUGAGAUAGGAUCGGAAAGCCCUUUGCGCACUGUGAAAUAUUUAAUACAGCAGGAUGGUGCUAAUGAGGCUAUCAGUGCAUUUUAAUAAUAGCUCUGGGAGACUUGAUUUUAUCCUAUAGCUAAUACUCUGUUACGACCCGUUGUGGAAUUAAACUGCAUUAACUAGACUUCGUGAGUUGUGUAUGGCCACGGGGUGUGUGAAGCCUCGCCGCGCCGUCAGCCGUCCUGCAGCACCCCUGGGGAGCUCUUCGCUGGGCCUUUCUCACGGUUGGUGACGUCACGUCCCAAGUGGAACCACAAGAAGACCUCCCUCCCUCCUCGGGGCAGAGCCUGCGGCUUCCGAUGUCAUCUUCCUCCUUUCUUCAAUGAGAUCCUCUUCUUCUGGAAGCUGGUUUCACAUGGUGGCUUAGAUUUUUCCAUCUUUGUAUCUAGCACCAUUUGAAAUCAGUGUUUUAGGAGUAAGAAUUGCAGCGCAGCGAAGGGCCACCAGCAGAGGAGCCUCCGCGGGUGGGAAGGGCGCCCUCCGCCUGCCACCUGAGCCGGCUCAAGAAAGGAAGACCUUGCAGAAGAGGAGGCACCCUCGCGUAUGUGGGCUGUGCAGGGGUGACGGCGCGGGGCGGGUGUGAUGUUUAAAAAAAAAUUCCGCAUCUGAGCAGGGGCAGACGCGGUGCCGGCUCCUAGCAGCCCCCGGGGCUCACCUGCCCAUCGGGCCUUGGAACACAGAGGUGGGGCCAUGCUCCAUGCGGAGCUCGAUUGUACCAGGGGAGGGGCGAGGCUGUGUACCCGGAGGACGGUCCCAUCCGCGUCAGCACUGCGCCUGCUCCAGACGCCCGGGAACAUUCCGCUGCUGUGGCAGUGCGGCUGGAAUCGGACUCGCCACCUGCAAGGUCAUGUGCGGGACCCCUGGGAGCACCAACGGACCCAUCUCUUACACAGGCUGACCGAUUUCUCCUGGUGUUCAGAGUCUGUUUUUGUCUAGCACCAUUUGAAAUCGGUUAUGAUGUAGGGGGAAAAGCAGCGGCCCCGAAGCCUCGUGCCGGCUCUGGGGAGCCACCGCCUGCGGUUUCCUGGAGGACCCACGGGCAGAGAGUGCGCAAGGACCACCGCGCGCCGUUUCCCCUAACUUCUUUAACUGCAUUUAUGAUCCCUUACUGCAGAGGUAAGAGAGAACCGAAUGUAUUUUGAGAAAUGGCUGUGCUGUAUCUGGUGUCCGGGUUGCAUGGUGCUGGAAGGUGGUAGGUGCCACCCAUGCGAUCAGUGGUUGCUGUUGAAUUCUCCUUCUGUGACGGGUCUGUUGGUGCUCCUGCCUGAAUAAAUAUUUCCCUCUAG